GACGAACGCUGUUGGCGUGCUUAACACAUGCAAGUCGAACGGAAAGGCCCUGCUUUUGUGGGGUGCUCGAGUGGCGAACGGGUGAGUAACACGUGAGUAACCUGCCCUUGACUUUGGGAUAACUUCAGGAAACUGGGGCUAAUACCGGAUAGGAGCUCCUGCUGCAUGGUGGGGGUUGGAAAGUUUCGGCGGUUGGGGAUGGACUCGCGGCUUAUCAGCUUGUUGGUGGGGUAGUGGCUUACCAAGGCUUUGACGGGUAGCCGGCCUGAGGGGGUGACCGGCCACAUUGGGACUGAGAUACGGCCCAGACUCCUACGGGAGGCAGCAGUGGGGAAUAUUGCACAAUGGGCGGAAGCCUGAUGCAGCAACGCCGCGUGCGGGAUGACGGCCUUCGGGUUGUAAACCGCUUUCGCCUGUGACGAAGCGUGAGUGACGGUAAUGGGUAAAGAAGCACCGGCUAACUACGUGCCAGCAGCCGCGGUGAUACGUAAGGUGCGAGCGUUGUCCGGAUUUAUUGGGCGCAAAGGGCUCGUAGGUGGUUGAUCGCGUCGGAAGUGUAAUCUUGGGGCUUAACCCUGAGCGUGCUUUCGAUACGGGUUGACUUGAGGAAGGUAGGGGAGAAUGGAAUUCCUGGUGGAGCGGUGGAAUGCGCAGAUAUCAGGAGGAACACCAGUGGCGAAGGCGGUUCUCUGGGCCUUUCCUGACGCUGAGGAGCGAAAGCGUGGGGAGCGAACAGGCUUAGAUACCCUGGUAGUCCACGCUGUAAACGGUGGGUACUAGGUGUGGGGUCCAUUCCACGGGUUCCGUGCCGUAGCUAACGCUUUAAGUACCCCGCCUGGGGAGUACGGCCGCAAGGCUAAAACUCAAAGGAAUUGACGGGGCCCCGCACAAGCGGCGGAGCAUGCGGAUUAAUUCGAUGCAACGCGUAGAACCUUACCUGGGUUUGACAUGGAUCGGGAGCGCUCAGAGAUGGGUGUGCCUCUUUUGGGGUCGGUUCACAGGUGGUGCAUGGCUGUCGUCAGCUCGUGUCGUGAGAUGUUGGGUUAAGUCCCGCAACGAGCGCAACCCUUGUUCACUGUUGCCAGCACGUUAUGGUGGGGACUCAGUGGAGACCGCCGGGGUCAACUCGGAGGAAGGUGGGGAUGACGUCAAGUCAUCAUGCCCCUUAUGUCCAGGGCUUCACGCAUGCUACAAUGGCUGGUACAGAGAGUGGCGAGCCUGUGAGGGUGAGCGAAUCUCGGAAAGCCGGUCUCAGUUCGGAUUGGGGUCUGCAACUCGACCUCAUGAAGUCGGAGUCGCUAGUAAUCGCAGAUCAGCAACGCUGCGGUGAAUACGUUCCCGGG
rnacentral:rRNA from 1 species